GGAAGGGGCAAGCGUUGUUCGGAAUCAUUGGGCGUAAAGGGCGCGUAGGCGGUCACGUAUGUCUGCUGUGAAAGUACACGGCUCAACCGUGUGAAGUCGGUAGAAACUGCGAGACUUGAGGCUGGGAGAGGUUGGUGGAAUUCCCUGUGUAGCGGUGAAAUGCGUAGAUAUAGGGGAGAACACUCGUGGCGAAGGCGGCCAGCUGGACCAGCCCUGACGCUGAGGCGCGACAGCGUGGGGAGCAAACAGGAUUAGAUACCCUGGUAGUCCACGCCGUAAACGAUGGGCACUAGGUGUUGGCGGUACUGAUUCCGUCGGCGCCGGCGUUAACGCAGUAAGUGCCCCGCCUGGGGAGUACGGUCGCAAGGCUGAA
rnacentral:rRNA from 1 species